rnacentral:tRNA from 1 species
GCCCAGGUGGCGGAACUGGUAGACGCACAGGACUUAAAAUCCUGCGAAUAGUGAUAUUCGUGCCGGUUCGAUUCCGGCUCUGGGCACCA